rnacentral:rRNA from 1 species
CCCUUAGAUGUUCUGGGCUGCACGCGCGCUACACUGAUGCGCUCAACGAGUUUUAACCUUGCCUGGAAAGGUUGGGUAAUCUUUUUAAAACGCAUCGUGAUGGGGAUAGAUUAUUGCAAUUAUUAAUCUUCAACGAGGAAUUCCUAGUAAGCGCGAGUCAUCAGCUCGUGUUGAUUACGUCCCUGCCCUUUGUACACACCGCCCGUCGCUCCUACCGAUUGAAUGUUCCGAUGAAUACCAUGGACUGAGAGUAUGAAUGGGUUCGCCUAUUUCUGCUUCUCGGGAAGUGGAGUAAAUCUUAACAUUUAGAGGAAGGAGAAGUCGUAACA